rnacentral:rRNA from 1 species
UACACUCCUGCGGGAGGCAGCAGUGAGGAAUAUUGGACAAUGGGUGGAAGCCUGAUCCAGCCAUCCCGCGUGCAGGAAGACGGCCCUAUGGGUUGUAAACUGCUUUUAUCUGGGGAUAAACCUACUUACGUGUAAGUAGCUGAAGGUACCAGAAGAAUAAGCACCGGCUAACUCCGUGCCAGCAGCCGCGGUAAUACGGAGGGUGCAAGCGUUAUCCGGAUUUAUUGGGUUUAAAGGGUCCGUAGGCGGACUGAUAAGUCAGUGGUGAAAUCCGACAGCUUAACUGUCGAACUGCCAUUGAUACUGUUAGUCUUGAGUAAGGUUGAAGUGGCUGGAAUAAGUAGUGUAGCGGUGAAAUGCAUAGAUAUUACUUAGAACACCAAUUGCGAAGGCAGGUCACUAAGUCUUAACUGACGCUGAUGGACGAAAGCGUGGGGAGCGAACAGGAUUAGAAACCCGGGUAGUCC